rnacentral:rRNA from 1 species
UACGUAGGGUGCGAGCGUUAAUCGGAAUUACUGGGCGUAAAGCGUGCGCAGGCGGUUUUGUAAGCCAGGUGUGAAAUCCCCGGGCUCAACCUGGGAAUGGCAUUUGGGACUGCAAGGCUGGAGUGCGGCAGAGGAGACUGGAAUUCCUGGUGUAGCAGUGAAAUGCGUAGAUAUCAGGAGGAAUACCGAUGGCGAAGGCAGGUCUCUGGGCUGACACUGACGCUCAUGCACGAAAGCGUGGGGAGCAAGCAGG